rnacentral:rRNA from 1 species
GAUGAACGCUGGCGGCGUGCCUAAUACAUGCAAGUCGAGCGAACAGACGAGGUGCUUCCUCCUCUGACGUUAGCGGCGGACGGGUGAGUAACACGUGGAUAACCUACCUAUAAGACUGGGAUAACUUCGGGAAACCGGUGCUAAUACCGGCUAACAUGUUUAACCGCAUGGUUCAACAGUUAAAGACGCUCUUGCUUUCACUUAUAGAUGGAUCCGCGUCGCAUUAGCUAGUUGGUAAGGUAACGGCUUACCAAGGCAACGAUGCGUAGCCGACCUGAGAGGGUGAUCGGCCACACUGGAACGGAGACACGGUCCAGACUCCUACGGGAGGCAGCAGUAGGGAAUGUUCCGAAAUGGGGGAAAGCCGGACGGAGCAACGCCGCGUGAGUGAAGAAGGGCUUCGGAUCGUAAAACUCUGUUAUUAGGGAAGAACAAAUGUGGAAGUAACUAUGCACGUAUUGACGGUACCUAAUCAGAAAGCCACGGCUAACUACGUG